UACGAAGGGGGCUAGCGUUGUUCGGAAUUACUGGGCGUAAAGCGCACGUAGGCGGAAUGUUAAGUCAGGGGUGAAAUCCCGGGGCUCAACCCCGGAACUGCCUUUGAUACUGGCAUUCUCGAGUCCGGAAGAGGUGAGUGGAAUUCCGAGUGUAGAGGUGAAAUUCGUAGAUAUUCGGAGGAACACCAGUGGCGAAGGCGGCUCACUGGUCCGGUACUGACGCUGAGGUGCGAAAGCGUGGGGAGCAAACGGG
rnacentral:rRNA from 1 species